rnacentral:lncRNA from 1 species
GGAAUUGGCAUUCAGUGUUAACAGAAUGCUGAGAAGUUCUGAAUUGGCAAAAACAGGAGUAAAGUGCUAAAUACUAGUGAAUACAUACACUUUGUUAUUACUGCUUUGAUACCUUUGAAACACAAAAAAUGAAUGGUAAAUAUGAUAUAACUGCAACAAUACAUCUACCUCCAACUUAUGAAAAAUAGGGACCAGUGACUGGAGUUAAGGGGCAGGCAACUAACUUGAAGGCCGUUGUGAUAAUCUGAAUAAGAAAUCAGGAGAACCUGGACUGAUAAUGGCGACUGAAAGAAGCCUAGAGAAAAGAUGGAUAUGUGGGAUUACAUGAAAGACAAAUCUUUAUCAGGCAAAUGCAACUGAUAUGUAACCAGUAAGACAAACAUAAUUAUCAGGUGUCACACCUGGAUUCU